rnacentral:ncRNA from 2 species
CCAAUAGCGUAUAUUAAAGUUGCUGCAGUUAAAAAGCUCGUAGUUGAAUUUCGGGACCAAUAUGUCGGUCGUGCUUCGGUACGUACUGUCAUAAUUGGUUUCUCCCUUCUGAAGAACCUUGAUGUCAUUAAUUUGGUGUCUUGGGGAAUCAGGACUGUUACUUUGAAAAAAUUAGAGUGUUUAAAGCAGGCUCGCGCUUGAAUACAUUAGCAUGGAAUAAUGAAAUAGGACGUUUGAUUCUAUUUUGUUGGUUUCUAGGAUCGACGUAAUGAUUAAUAGGGAUAGUUGGGGGCAUUAGUAUUCAAUUGUCAGAGGUGAAAUUCUUGGAUUUAUUGAAGACUAACUACUGCGAAAGCAUUUGCCAAGGAUGUUUUCAUUAAUCAAGAACGAAAGUUAGGGGAUCGAAGACGAUCAGAUACCGUCGUAGUCUUAACCAUAAACUAUGCCGACUAGGGAUCGGAUGAUGUUAAUUUUUUAAUGACUCAUUCGGCGCCUUACG